rnacentral:tRNA from 1 species
GAAAACACUAUCUUUUCGAGAUAGAGAUGUAUUGUAUUUUACA